rnacentral:rRNA from 1 species
UGCCCAGUCGAGGGGGAUAACUACUGGAAACGGUAGCUAAUACCGCAUACGCCCUACGGGGGAAAGCAGGGGACCUUCGGGCCUUGCGCGAUUGGAUGAACCCAGGUGGGAUUAGCUAGUUGGUGAGGUAAUGGCUCACCAAGGCGACGAUCCCUAGCUGGUCUGAGAGGAUGAUCAGCCACACUGGAACUGAGACACGGUCCAGACUCCUACGGGAGGCAGCAGUGGGGAAUAUUGCACAAUGGGGGAAACCCUGAUGCAGCCAUGCCGCGUGUGUGAAGA